CCCAUGUACCGUGGACGAGCUCCUUUAUGCCACACCUGUGCAUGGAUUGACUCAGUGGUGUAAAAUGCCAUUUAAAAAAAGAAUGACAAAGUUUGAAUGAGAAAAUGUAUUUCAUCGUGGAAGAUAAAAGUCUUUCCUUCUCUACAGUGAAUACAGGUUAUCCAAGAGCGAAAAAGCCCUCCAAUCUAGUGCUUAUGUAUCAUACAUUUUUAAUAGAAAAUAUUUGAAGAACUCAACUUCUGUUCACUAUAUAUGCGUAAAAAGUGGAAUUAAAGCCCUCAUUAAAGACAGCACACUUGCAAUAGUACUUAUUUAAAAAUGUAAAAUUUACAUCAAUAGUUUAACUUUACAUCAGAAGAUUUCCUACCAAGAACAUGCUAAUGCUUCCAUUUUUAAAGUUCCUUUAGUCCAAAGUCUGGACCUCUUUUUUUUUUUUUUUUUUUUUUUUUUUACUUUUUUCUUUUUUCACUCCCUGAAAUAUGCAGUAAUCCACAAGAUGCCACCGACUAAACUUGUUAUGAG